UGCCAAUAAGAAUGAUUUUGUUAAAAAAAGUUUUGAAUCUUUUCAGACGCCUAAAGAUGGACAUAUUAUUGACAGCUGAAGCAAAGAACAUAUUUAUUGCGUCUUUUCAAAUCGCCAUCAAUAUUAUGUUUAUAUCUAAAAAUGUCGGAGAUAUUAAUCAUUUGCAGUUCCUAAAUAGCCUAGACGAUCCAUAUUUUUUUAAUUUAGUUAAUUUAGCAAAAUGGAAAAGUAAAUUGAAUUGCAUUUACGCUGUCAAAGGUGUUCUUAUAGGCUUAACAGUCGCAUUUCUUGUUUUUAGUGGGAUUUUGCUAAUUGGAUUAUUUAUGAAAAAACGAAUGUUGAUCAAAAGCUAUUUGAUUGCGGCACCAGCUUUUAUAAUUUCCCGUACGGUGUUGUAUGCAUGCGAAUUCGUACUUGUUAAAACCAAUGUAGUAUUCCAAGCCAUGAAUAUGAACUCAGCAUUCUACGUUCUAAACAUUAUCUCUGUAUUAUUCGACAUUAUGCUUUUUUUCAUCAUUUCCAUGGUAUAUAAUACCUGGGAAAAAGAAGAGAAUAUGCGACAUGGAGCU